rnacentral:misc_RNA from 1 species
GAUACCGAAUCGAUUUGUAAU